AGCAAAGUAGAAAUGACAUGCCCUGAAAAUAACAUUAUUCCACACACUAUUUUAAAGAUAUACAGAGAAUAUGUCUCUUCUUUCCCUGCUGGAACAAGGAUAUAUAUUUUUUUCCUAAGAGGUUAUUUACUUCUUUCAUGCACUAGGGAGACAGAGAGUGACAAAGAGGGAGAGAGAGAUAGCACCCCCAACAGGGUCUUGAUACUGUGAUACACCCCAGCUCUAGCCAGCGCUGGACCAUGGGCAUCUCACUCACGCUGAUGAAGCCAGUUACCAUGUUCUGAGCUGCCUCAUAGAUUGGCCCAUGCGGCAAUGAGCUGAGGGAGACCGCUGAUAGCCAACAGCCAGUGAGGACAUGAAGCCACUCAGCCCAACAUCCCCUGAGGGAAUGGACCUGCCAACAACUACGUGCAUGAGUGUGGAAGUGGAUCUUUCUUCAGGCAAGCUUUCAGAUGAAACUGCAGCCCUGUGAAUACCUUCUUCCCAGGUUGAUAAGAUACUCAGAGCCAGAAGAUGCAGUUAAACUAUAUCUGGAUUCCCCACCUACCGAAACUGUGAGAUAAUGAACUAUGAAAUAAUAAAUAAAAGUAAGCAAAUA